rnacentral:rRNA from 1 species
UACGUAGGCAGCGAGCGUUGUUCGGAAUUACUGGGCGUAAAGAGCGUGUAGGCGGCUGGGUAGGUCCGUUGUGAAAACUCGAGGCUCAACCUCGAGACGCCGAUGGAAACCCUCCAGCUAGAGUCCGGAAGAGGAGAGUGGAAUUCCUGGUGUAGCGGUGAAAUGCGCAGAUAUCAGGAAGAACACCCGUGGCUAAGGCGGCUCUCUAGUACGGUACUGACGCUGAGACGCGAAAGCGUGGGGAGCGAACAGG